CCUACGGGUGGCAGCAGUGGGGAAUAUUGGACAAUGGGCGAAAGCCUGAUCCAGCCAUGCCGCGUGUGUGAAGAAGGCCUUCGGGUUGUAAAGCACUUUCAGUGGGGAAGAAAGCCUUGGGGCUAAUACCCUCGAGGAAGGACAUCACCCACAGAAGAAGCACCGGCUAACUCCGUGCCAGCAGCCGCGGUAAUACGGAGGGUGCGAGCGUUAAUCGGAAUUACUGGGCGUAAAGCGCGCGUAGGCGGUCUGAUAAGCCGGUUGUGAAAGCCCCGGGCUCAACCUGGGAACGGCAUCCGGAACUGUCAGGCUAGAGUGCAGGAGAGGAAGGUAGAAUUCCCGGUGUAGCGGUGAAAUGCGUAGAGAUCGGGAGGAAUACCAGUGGCGAAGGCGGCCUUCUGGACUGAAACUGACGCUGAGGUGCGAAAGCGUGGGUAGCAAACAGGAUUAGAUACCCUUGUAGUC
rnacentral:rRNA from 1 species